rnacentral:rRNA from 1 species
UACAGGGGGUGCAAACGUUUGCUCGGAAUUAUUGGGCGUAAAGCGCGCGUAGGCGGCCGCUUAAGUCGGAUGUGAAAGCCCCUGGCUCAACUGGGGAAGUGCACCCGAAACUGAGUGGCUUGAGUACUAAAGAGGGUCGCGGAAUUCCCGGUGUAGAGGUGAAAUUCGUAGAUAUCGGGAGGAACACCGGUGGCGAAGGCGGCGACCUGGGUAGAUACUGACGCUGAGGCGCGAAAGCGUGGGGAGCAA